GUGACUUUGCAGUUGCAGUUUGUCAGCUGAGGUUUCCACUUGACCACAUGCUCAGCUUCACUUGGGGGGAAAAGGUCCUCUGGCUAUGAUGAUCCCAGAGCUUACAUUCCAGUCUCUGUAGCUGCUACCAGCCUGGCCUCGAGAGGAUUCCUCUUUGCCCCUCUGUAUCACUCGUCUUAUUGUAGCUCUGAGUGUUAUACUCCAAGAGCUUCUUCUCCUUAUGCUCCCUGGAGUCCUGUUACAUCCAUCCAAAGACCAGCUGAUGGCAGCCUUCUGAGAGGCUGUGAGGUGAACAGAUAUACUUCUUUCUGAACUUCGACCGUAUAUUCUGCCUUCAAACACCAGAUGCUCCAAAAGUAACAGAUCAGUUGUCUACGGACUGAAGUCUUCAAACAGUAAACCAACGCCCCGGGCUCAACCGGCACUGUCAUCUGUCAAGCGAAUGCAUUAUUCACUGUCUCAUACGACAUUGCUUCUGACCAAAGGAUGCAUUCCCCAGGCAGAGAAGAAAGGUAAGCUGGUGCCUGGGCAGUCCACUCUUACCACAGAUCUUGUCGUCCGGCAGCAUCUGACGUUACAGAUUGGUGGAAUCGCUCUGGGAUGACUCAAUUACAGUGCCAGCUAGAAGACAAACUGUCAGAGUUAGUGCUGCCUCUCAGGAAGCUGUGCCCUAGCAACCAAGACCUGUCUAUGUUCCCACAGCUGACCAUACGCAUCCAAUACCAAGGAUGUGGUAUCUGGAAAGGUACUUACCCAGUGCCUUCCUCACAAAUGCCUAACUUGCUACCUCCCUAAUUCUGUUACGUUUGGUACAAGAGGGCAGGCAUAAAUGAAGCUGAGAUUGAUACCAAGGUAAUUUCACUUUACUCAAACAAGAGUGGGGAGGGCAGUUGGCAUGAAUCUGCAUAGAAUACAUUGUUGUAUAUGACUCAAUAUGUAAUAAGGAGUUUUUUUUUUCGCACAAUUUUUUUUGCAUAAUACUUAAAUAUCCAGGAACCAAACAAAUAAACUCAUGUUCUUUGAGGGAAUUUGGUUUAUUGCAAUGAUCCCCCCAAAUAAGGAUCAGGGUGAGUAGAGAUGUUAGGUGAAAAAACACAGACCAGUAAAGAAACAGGCUGGACACAUAGAUGGCCUGACAAUUGAAAAAAAAAAUUCUAGGCCUGUCAUAAUAGGAAAGUGAGCCUGAGAUAUGGGUAUCAGGAGUCAAACGACUCAUCAGAGCUAAAAGAUUUGGGGAGAAUGGUCCCCUGGAUAGUGGCAUUAGAAGACACUGAGGGUGCCCAUUCAGUAUACAAGCUAAUCAGUAGCAGAAGCAGGGAGGUAUUUGUUGUGGUUUGCGUGCGAAAUAUCUCCCACAGCUUUAUGCAUUUGUAGACCCAGUUCCUGGCUGGCGAUGUCGCUUUAGCUAGUUGCAGAACCUUUGGGUGCAGAAUCUUUGGGCUUCUCUGGUUGAAGAAUUACCUUGGGUUAUAUCAUUGUUACAUCUAGUAGUUCCCAACCUUCACCUGUAGCUUGCAAUAGCAUGCACAUAUUUCUUUUGCAUGAUGCUGUGUUACAGUGAGUACUGGCCUACAAGUGACCGUCGGGCUGUGGGCUGAACCCUCACAUGAGGAAGUGGGUCACUGGAGGUAGGCACUGGGGUUUUAUAUAAGUCCUCACUUGCUCUCUUCUCCGCCUCCUCCUUAAUGCAAUGUGACCAGCCACUUCCAAGUCCUGCCAUGCCUUCCCUCAUCCCCCAAUGUGGUGGCCUGUAACACCUCUUAAAUAAUUAGCAAAAAGGAACCCCUCCUUCUUUAAGGUGUGUUAGUCAGGCAUUUUUGUCCUAGCCAUGAAACGGCAAUGAAUACGGUCUUAUUUAUAACAAUACCGUAUAUUAUACGGCAGCUUAUUCUUCACUUGAAAGUAUCAUCUCAUAUAUAGGGCCAGCUCGGUGGGUAAAGGAGCUUGCUGCCAAGCCUGAGAACUUGAGAUUGAUCCCCCUGAACCCACAUAAGGCUAGAAGAAGAAAACUAACUUCACAAAGUUAUUCUCUGACCUCUACAUAUAUGCCAUGACAGGCACAUAUAUACAUGUGCACACACCAUACACACAGUGAAAUAAUACCUAAGUAAAAUAAAGUUUAAAAAGGAAAAUGCAAUGCUUAGCGGAGGCUAGGAAACUGUAUGUGUACCCCCUGCUCACACGUCACAAGGGCAGAUUCCUGGACCGCAAUUCCCACGUUCUUUGUAAAUGAAGCUUUAGGAUCUUGGAUCCAGUUGCUGAAGGGACUUCUGUCCCAGUGAUAUCCUUGCCCCAGUUCAGUGGUAUUUUCAUACCCCCUGCCCCCGAAAUGAACCAUCUCUGUCAAUUUCCUGUCCAGAGUGACUUUCAGAGAUGUGGCCAAGAAGCAAUUUAUUGAAGUUGGGAAAUUGGAAAAGCCUCUCCAUUUCUCCUGCAACAAGUUCUUAUGAUUUCCUUUGAAGUGAGCUUUUCAAAUACGCCAGACAACCUACACUCAAAUGGAAGUCGGAAAAUGCAUGUCGAAAAGCAAAAAAAGAAGAGGUUGCCCUUGCCUCCCAUUUUAUCUUCUUCAUCGCCUGCUUGUCUGCCUUGAAUUUGUUAAUGGGAAAAACACUUUUCUGUAGCCACAGAUGACCAAAUAGCACCAGAGUUGUAGGGGAAAAUCUGGAAGAGGAAACACUUAGCCUCGAAGAGAACUUGAAGUCCCAGGGUCAGUGGAUAGCAGGGGGUGGGCGUGGGUAUUCCACCCACUCAGAGAAGGGGAGGGGGAAUGCAGAAAGGAUUGUGGGAAGGGGUGACCUGGAGAUGGGCAGUGAGUGGGAUGUGAAUACGUUAAAAAAUUAAUUAAAAAAAGAAAAAGGAAAUAAAGUUGUGUGUGUGUGUGUGUGUGUGUGUGUGAGAGAGAGAGAGAGAGAGAGAGAGAGAGAGAGAGAGAUGGAGAGAGAGAGGUGGAGAGAGAGGUGGAGAGAGAGAGGUGGAGAGAGAGAGGUGGAGAGAGAGAGAGAGAGAUGGAGAGAGAGAUGGAGAGAGAGAGGUGGAGAGAGAGGUGGAGAGAGAGAGAUGGAGAGAGAGAGAUGGAGAGAGAGAGGUGGAGAGAGAGGUGGAGAGAGAGAGAGAGAGAGAGAGAGAGAGAGAGAGAGAGAGAGAUAUUUACAUGGAAGUCAAACCUAGCUUUACUGUUCAGACACCCUCUCUCUUGUCUUUUGAGACGACGGCUCUCAUUUUUCUUGGGACCCACUAAGUAAGUACCAAGUGUUCCACUGACUGCCUCAUCAAAAGCAGGAUUACAUGCACACAGCACCCCACUGUGGGUGUGGAACUGAAGCCUUUAAAAACUGAGCCAUUUAUCUAGCCACCUAGUGUGAGGUUUUUUUGUUUUUUUGUGUUUUUAAUUGUGCUAUUUCGUGUAUUCACCCUAGCUAUUUAUAGUUUGGAGAAUGUUUAUUUCAGCAAAUACAGUUCCACCUGUUCUAUGGAUGGUAAGCAUGUGGUGCAUGUGUAAUCAAAUCAUGAGCUAUUUUAAUAACAUCCCAUAGAUGUAAGUUUUAUGAAUGAAUUGUUUGUUCAUUUAGAGGGGAGAGAUACAGAGACAGAGAGAUACAGAGACAGAGAGAAAUAUGCUCUCUUCUUUUACCAUGUGGUUCCUGGGAUUUGAACUCAUGUCACCACGCUUAGCAGCAAGAGCCUUUAUCCACCAAGCCCCAUGUUGGCUGUCUCUGGAAUUUUUGUAUGUGAUCUUGAUCUUAGAAGUAACAUUAUAGGUUGCCCAAGGAUACCAUCUAACCAAAAAUCUUCCUGUAGUGCCUCUGGGGGCUUAAUGAGAAAAACUCCAGGGUCAUGGCAUCGAAAUCUCUCUAUUCCUGUACCAGGCAGUUGAAUGUAACUGGAAAACUCUUCUUGUGUGGAUUUACCCACAGGAACUCCCCACACUGUUCUUGCCUAGUCCUCUAAUGUUCGGUGAAUUGAGGGAACCAUAGAGGAAAUGAAGUGGGGCCAAGUAUCCUCAAGAGAAUGACCGGUGGUGUGUAAUGAUACAGACCAGUCAUGCCAGCCCUUGAGAGACCUAGGCUAGAGAACCAGGGCUUCAAAGCCAGUAUGGAAUCCAUAGUGAGUUCUAGGCUAUACUGUGGUAUAUAGAAACAAGAAGGGAAAAGAAAAGAAAGGAAGGGAAGAGAAAGAGAGGAGAGAACAGGAGAGGAGAAUAGAUGAGAAGAGGAAGUUAUAUUUUAUUAAAGGAGAAUUAGAAACUCGGGGAGAACCUUUGUAUAUCAUGCAUGAAAACCCUGGAAUUGAUCCAUAACACUGAGGGAUGGAGGGAGGAAGAACAGGAAAGACACACACACACACACACACACACACACACACACACACAGAGAGAGAGAGAGAGAGAGAGAGAGAGAGAGAGAGAGAGAGAGAGAGAGUUUAUCUGUUAGUUGAGUUAGUAUACCAGCUUGAAAUGUCAGAUUGGCCAAGAUACCCCUAUUGAACUACCCCUGUGUAGUCAGGAGGUCAUCAGGAUGUAUUUCAGGGAAGGGAAGCCUUUGAGUUCUGGCCUCACUGAGUUUCUUGCUGUGUAUGUAUCUGCAUGAGCUCUCAAUUAAAAUUAGCCAUUAUCUUAAAAGCUGAAUGCCUUUGAAGGAAACAGGUCAUAUUUUCAUGUCCAUCUUACCUAUCAGGGUCUCUAUUGGCAAUGAAAUCACAGAGUUUAUUUGUCUCUAAUGGGCUCCCUUUAUUAUUAUCAGCAGCGGUUUGAUUUAAUGGGGGAGGUAGUGAAAAAGUAGAUGGAAUGACCAGAUAGCAACAUCCACUCUUAAACGUAAUAGUGCCAGUUGCUCUCUCCAGGAAAAAGAUCAGACUACAGGGCUAGCAUUUGCCAUGCUCCAUGAUCUGAUGGCCCACAUUUCAAGUCACUCGGCAUGACAUGGACUUUUUCUUUUUUCUUUUUCUUUACUUUGGAUAAAUAAGAGUUUUUUCUUUUAUUUGAUAUUUUCUUUAUUUACAUUGCAAAUGUUAUCCCCCUUCCUGGUUGGUUUUCCCUCCAGCAACCUCCUAUCCUAUCCCCCCAUCCCUCUGCUUCUAUGAGGAUGCUCCCUACCCACUCACCUACUGCCUCCCUCCUCCAAGAGCUUCUCCUCCCACUGAUGUCUGACAAAGCCAUCCUCUGUUACAUAUGCAGCUAAAGCUAUAAGUAUCUUCAUGUGUUGGUGGUUUAGUCCCUGGGAGCUCUGGGGGGGGGUCUGGUUGGUUGAUAUUGUUGUUCUUUCUAUGGGGUUGCAAACCCCUUCAGCUCCUUCAGUCCUUUCUCUAACUCCUCCAUUGGGGACCCCGUUCUCAGUCCAAUGGUUGGCUAUGAGCAUCUACCUCUGUAUUUGUCAGGCUCUGGCAGAGCCUCUCAGAUGACAGCUAUAUCAGGCUUCUAUCAGCAUGCACUUCUUGGCAUCUGCAAUAGUGUCUGGGUUUGGUGUCUGUAUAUGGGAUGAAUCCCCAGGUGGGGCAGUCUCUGGAUGGCUUUCCCUUCAGUUUCUGCUCCACAUUUUGCCUCUGUGUUUCAUCCUGUGAGUAUUUUGUCCCCCCUUCUAAGAAGAACUGAAACAUCCACAGGCUGGUCUUCCUUCUUCUUGAGCUUCUUGACAUGAACUUUGAAACGACUUUUAUUUCAUUGACCCAUCCUCUUCUUGCUUUCUUCUUGGAAAUAGGCUGUUUUAUUUUGUAAUCCCUCUGUCUUCCUGGGAAUGUCUAUUGCAGAACAAUUUCCUCCAAACUGAAAUAUUCCCCCUUGGAAGGGGGAAAGGCUGCAGCUAAUGAGAUUCAAGAAGUAAACAAACAUCACAUAUCUGGGGGAAGCUGAAACAUUCAUGAAGACAUGUAAACAGCUGAUGGACAAAGAAACUGACCAGACCAAGCUUCUGAGAGUAUGUUCUUAGACCUGUUGCAUUGUCCUCAAGUGGUGUAGAAAGAUCAGGGAUGCAGCUUUCCUGAGUCAUCGUAGGGGGAAGGGCUUCUCAGUGAUGCAGCUGCUGUGUUUGGGUCACACAAGCUCUUGUAAGUAGCCCAUCACCUAUACUCAUGUUAUUGACCCUAAUUAAAAACUCCAUUAUUUACUAAAUUAGAUUUUGGUGCAAUUGUUAUCUUGGUCUAUCCUAGGUUCACUAUUUGGGGUGAGUAUAUGGGGAUUUAUAGUUUCCUAGGAGAAAUCUCACAUAGCAAUGUCCUUUCUGCAAGCUUAGAUCAGUGACUACAGAUGUAACAUGCAUCCACAUGUUUCUGCCCCAUGUUUUGACAUGUUCUUUUGCUCAUGGAGCAACUGGUCUAUGGGCUUUCCACUUGAACAGGAUUAAACUUUUGUUUUGAUUUUGCAGUGCUGGAGAUCAGACUCAGUGCCGUUCGCAUGCAAAGGCAAGGAUGGUUCACUCCGCUAUUCCCCCAACUCAUUGAAAUGGGCCCGAAUACCAACCAAAUCCUUAAUUAAAGUAGUGGUCAACUCUUUAUCAUAAGGUGUUUUGUGUUUGAUGAUUUUGCCCUGCUGUAGGUUCCUGGCAGUGCUAUAAGCAUCUUGAAGGCAGACUAGGUCCAGUUAUGAAUUGAAAGUUAGAUGGAUUUCAGCUUUAAUAUUUGUUGUAUCUGAUGGAUUUACUGGUAUGUGAGUUGAAGACCUUUGAAAUGUGAAAUCAACGAAUUAAUUACUUCUAAGAGCAGACAUUAAAUAAUCAUUUGUUUGCUACUUCCCAUAAUAUCUAGCAUUUAAACAGUCAUUUACAAACACUCAUUCAUAUUUAUCUUGAGUGUUCUAAAUGUUAGAAACAAAGUUCUUGAAGUAUUUGACUUUCCUAAUCAAACCACCUCCUGCAUUCAAUGCUGUGUUCUGAACAUGAAUUUCAAAUUUCGCUUGGGACUGGAGAGUUGGCCCUUUGCCUGCCGAAAAGUCUGACUAAGAACUGAAAUUGAAUAGGUAGAAAGAUGGCUCACCAGUAAAGAUCCAUCUCCUCCAAAUUGAAACAUAUUCUGCGGGAAGUCUCAUGUAUGCAUAGGUACUGGGUUUCAAUUACCAGCAUCUAUAUCAGGUAUACUACUCCUCUUGACUUACAACUACCAGCAUCUGUAUCAGGAAAUUCACAACUUCCUGUAAUUCUAGCCCAGGGCAUCAGAAAUCCUUUUCUGGUCUCCUCAAGGUGCCCAUACACUCAUGCACGCACAGACCCGCGCACACAUACACACACACAUACAGAGAGAGAGAGAGAGAGAGAGAGAGAGAGAGAGAGAGAGAGAGAGAGAGAGACAGAGAGACAGAGAGACAGAGAGACAGAGAGACAGAGAGACAGAGAGACAGACAGAUAUCCCCACACAUAAAUAAAAGAAAGAGAAGUGCUCUGAAGAGUGGAGGUGUAGUUCAGUGGGUAAAGCACUUGCUGUUAAAGUAUUAUAACCUAGUUUGAAUUUUCAGAACUGAUGUAAAAAGCUAAACUCAGCAACACACCUGUAUGACAGCGUUUCUCCUAUCGUGAGAUGGGGAGUGAAGACAGGAAAUCUCUGGAGGUUCACAAGUCAGCUUGUUUAUUGUAUACAUUAGCAAGAAAGAGAGGGAGAGAGACUUUGUUUCAAACAAGGAAGGCAAGGAUGAAGACUGAAAGCCAAGAUGGUCUUCUGACUACACCGAUAUCAUGGUGUGCCCGUAUCCAUACCAACGCACAUGAAUACAUAGACACAGAACUGCCUUUCAUGCUCUUCUAAAUUCUGUGUUUGCACUCCCCACCCUAUCUCUGCCCAUGCCUGCUGGUACCCAGAAGGGCACUGAUUUAGGCUCUGUAUUAUUCCAGCACAGUACCAGUAUGAAAGUUUCUCUUUGGUGGAAUCCCAAAAGCAGUGAUAACAGCAAAGUGAGUUUCUGAUUUUUAUCAGGGAAGAUAGUAUUCUGGGAAUAAAAAAUAGAAAACUAGAAGAAUAGAAGGGUCUGCGGAGCAGCAACAGCUGUGGAGACCUCCUCUUACUUUGAGCCUAUGAAAUCAGAGAAGCCAUGUUUCUAGAGGACUGCCUAAAUGGUUUUAGUUUUAUCAGCAUAGCAUAGAGAGGCUAACAAAACGAGCUUCUAGAAAUUGCCAUACUGUGUUGCCCAAGGUGAGAGAGAGAGAGAGAGAGAGAGAGAGAGAGAGAGAGAGAUAGAUAGAUAUCAGGGGAUUGAAGGGCCUAUGGAGAUAGCUCAGCAGUAGCUAGAGUGCUUGCCAAUUCAAACAUAAGAACCAAAUUUUGCAUCCCAUGACCCAUGUGAAUGAUGGAAUGGAAUGGCUGCCCAUCUGUAAUUCCAGCCCUGGAAAGUGGAGGCAGGAAAUUUCUGUACCAAGCUGGUUAGCAAGACAAGCCACGUCUUCCACCCUUGGGUUUGCAUCUAGGAGUAAGUUUCAAGAGUGAUUCCCAACAUCAACCUCAGGCCUCCACAUGCAUGUACUCAUGCAGCUACACACAUAUGCCACCAUAGCAUGCGACAACAAAAUAACCUAUGCAAAUUCAUACAAAAGUAGAAAAAAAUGUAGAAGGCUGAAGAACUUGGAGUCUUUUGUCAGAAGGAUGGCAGCAGCAGCAGCAGCAGCAGCAGCAGGUAGAUGUACUUGCCAGCAAGAAAUGAAAGGCAAUGAGGCAAACAAUAUUUCCCUUAGAUCCCUUCUUAUCUGGCCACCUGUCAAAAUGGACCAUGCAUUCUGAGUGAAAAGCCUCUCUCAGUUAAUCCCUUCUCAAAAUAACCUCAAGGUCACAUCUUUGAGCUGAUUCCAGAUCCAAUCAACUUGACAAUCAAGAUUAACCAUCAUUGGGCCUGGAGAGAUUGCUCAGCAGUUAAUAGUGCUCCGUUCUCUUUCAGGUUUAGCUUUCAGAACCCAAAUCCAGUGGUUCACAACCAUUCAUAAGUUCAGCUCCCAGAGAUCUGACUCCCUCUUCUGGCCUCUACUAGUAUACACUCAUGUGCAAAUACCCAAAUAUAUAAAUAAAUAGUAAAAUAAAUCCCUGAAAAGAUUUAUCAUCACAAAGGCAUUCUUAAAAUCAAAGACUCCUUUUACUGUACCUUCUGUCCUGAGUCUCUCUAGUUUGCUUGUUUGGCUUCCCUCUUGUUGAUUUCCUCAGAGUACGAAUUGCUGAAAUCUUCUUGACCAAAGCAUACACUGGACCUACUCUUCAGGAUGCUCUACUGCCCAGCAAGGCAUCUUGUAAGAUUAGCUGUUCAGUCAAUAUUUGUAGCUGACAUUAUUCCAUAAUUAGAUAACGGCAAGAGAAAAUAUUGAUCUUCUUGUCUGUACCCAGUCUUCUCUUAUGACAGUCUGAAAGAGGAAGUCAUAACGUCACAUGACACUUUGAACAGCAAUGCUUGUUUAGUGAGAAUGGAUAGGUUUUGUCUGGUUGGUUUUGUAUGUGGUGUAUGUGCAUUAUAUAGACUGUUUCCUGUCCCUAGGUAUGUGCACACAAAAGCCAGAGGAAAUACUGAGUCACUUGCUCUAUCAAGCGCAACCUUAUUAUAUUUAGAUAGGGUUAUUCACUGAACCUGGAGCUAGGCAAGCAGUUAGGAAGCCCUAGGGAUCCCCCCCCCCUUUGGCCAUAGUACUGAAGUUAUAUGUAUGCAUUUUCAUGCCCAGAAUUCUGUAUGUGGGUGCAAGAGAUUCAAACUCAGGUCUUUUUAUUUGGGCAGCAAAAACUCUUCCUCAUAGAAUCAUCUCCCCAGGUCUGUAUUAAUUGCUUCUUUGGAUUAGGGUAAUCAAUGCAACAGGUGCUUCAUAAAUGAUGGAGUAAGAGUUGGGGAGAUGGCGCUGUGUGUGCAUGUGCAUGCAUAUCUGGACCCCAGAGGACGACUUACGAUGUUACACCUCACCUUCUAAUGUGUUUGAGACAAGCUUUCUUCUUGUUUGCUGACAUGUUCUCCAGACUCGGUGGCCUCUGAUCUCCCAGAGAGUCUCUUGCCUCUGCCCCCACCAUUCAGUAGGAACACCGGCAUUUUGUGCAUUCUUGCUAGUGCCUCACUUUUAUGUGGUUUCUGGAGAAUCCAUGCUUACAUUCUCACAGCGAGUUCUUUACCCACCAUACCAUCUCCCAGGCUGCCCCCAAACCUGCAGACAUUUUUAUGUGCUAUUAAAUACGUCUUGUUUCUGAAUGCAUGAAGACUGGGAAGGCGAACCAUCAGAUGCUAAAGCCAGUCUCAUCUACUCUGUAAGCCUCAGUUUCCUCACCCUUAAAACGAGUAGAACAAUUCCAUUCAGAUGAAAAUUGAAGUAUGGGUGUAUUGGACACCCCAUACUUACAGUUAUCCCAUGAAGUUUGUUCUUUCCUUCGAUGUCAUGAAAAUAUUUUACUGUCUCUUUGGAUGUAUCAUGUUUUUCCAUUCCCAUUCAGUUCCUUCCUAUCUUGCAAAGAACUCAGUGCUUUCCUGUUGAGAGCAAUGCCAUAGCCCAAGGGAUAAUCUGAAGACGUGUGGACAGGGCCAUGCAAUGGAAGAGGCAGUUAAAAUAUAAAAUAAUAGCCAGGGACUAAAAUUGCCCCUGACUGCCCAUCGUGGCUCCAGUUUUUAUCGUCCAUUAAAACCCACAAUCACUCUAAUGUUUAUGCAUUAUUGGGGAGAUAAAUUGCAUAAUUUUCAUUUUGCAAUUUAAAUGUAAUUAUGAUCUUACUAAUGACUAAAACCUGAAUUUGCUAGACUAUCAGUUUUUCUAACCCUUACCAAAAUUAUAGGUAAUUACUUAAGGCUUACAAUAAUUAUAAGUCCAUCUUUUAAAUAAUUAAUGUGCACUUUCAUGAUACAAAACAGCUAGUCAUCAAACGACCUCCGCUUAGACUGCAAACCCAUGCAAUUAAGCCUAUUGUGUAGGUCUGGGAAAAUAUACCCAUUUGCAAGAGUCUCUUUAGUUUGCAAGUGGGAACACAGAAUCUCUGUGUUUUAUAGUAUCAAAUAAGGCAGAAUUCCCCAGCUGCCAAAAGGCCAGGGAAAAGAAAAGCAAUCCACAAAGUAGUUCAGAACUCUAUAUUAAUCUAUACAACACAAUUGUAGUUGGUGGGGGUCAGCUGGAGAAACAUCCAGAAGCUUCUAGCUAUGGUCCCAAGAGAAAAGGGAAAUAGAUCUAGUUUUCACAAAGGAACAAAGUAAGGGAUGUGCAUAGAAUAUAUCACUUAUGUUUGGUUCUUUUUCCUUCUUUCUUUAGGGGAUAUGCCAAUUCCAGCACAAGGCUCUAGGUAUCUAAAGUAUGAUGAUCCAGAAGGCAGAGGUUGGCACUAGAGAGGACUUGGUAAAAUUUUAAUUAUUGACUCAACACAAUCUAGAAUCACCUGGGCAGUCUCCAUGAAGGAUUUUCCAGACUAGGUUAUCCGGUAGGCAUAACUGUGAGGUUUUAUCUUAAUUAGUGGGAAAAUAUGAAAACACGCCAAAUGGAGUGGCACUAUUCACUAGGCUGGGGCAUCUGGAGUAGAUGAGAAGGGAGAAAGGGAGCUGAACAGUAACAUGCAUGCAUCAAUUCGCUGCUUUCUGCUCUUGACUGUAGAAGUAAUAUGGCUAGCUGUUUCAAGAUUCUAUCUUUGUGACUCCCUAGCAAUGAUGGAGUAUAGCCCAGAGUUGUGAUUUGGCUAUACAUCUAUAUUUUGUCUGUCUGUCUGUCUGUCUAAUUAUCUAUCUAUCUAUCUAUCUAUCCAUCCAUCCAUCUAUCUAUCUAUCUAUCUAUCUAUCUAUCUAUCUAUCUAUCUAUCUAUCUAUCUAUCUAUCUAUCCAAAUAAACCCUUUCUCCCUUAAGUUGCAUUUGCCAGAGUAUUUUAUCACAGCAACAGCCAACAAGACUAAGAAACAUAUUUAUGUCUGUGUUCCUCUCCUACAUGAGUGCUACUGCCUUCCUGCUUGAUGGCUAAUGGGUAAUAGAAGCAUUCUGUCAGUUAGAGGUAAUGAAAUCAACUUGUACUCACGAGCCAGACUUCUCACUCAUGACUGGGACUAUGUGUUUUUUCAUUGUGAUUGACAUCUUGAUACUAUAUAUGUAUCACACUGUGGGAUAAGCCUUGGGGAACGCCUGUGAGGGGGCUCUUAGAUUAGGUCCCUUGGAGUAGGAAGAAUUGUGGGUCAUACUACUCUAAGGGCUGAGAUUCUGGAAAUUAAAUAAGUAUGUCAAUUAAUUAAUUAUUUAAUUAAUUAAGCUAGCUGGUCUUCAGAAUUCAUCUCCUUCAGAUUCCUGAUUGCUAAUGCAGUGGAAACAGCUGCCUCAAACUCCUAUCACUGACUUCUCUGACAUGAUGUGCUGUACCCUCAAACUGUGAGCAAAAAUAAGUCCUUUCUUCCACAAGUUGCUUUUAUCUGGGUAUUUUAAACAGGUACGUAAAAAGUAACUAAGAUAUAAGUCUUUAUGUUUAAGAAAGUUUAAGUAUCCAUCAGUGAAUCUAUUCCUAUUAUGUUCUGGGGAGUGGCAGGGAACAGUAUGUACAGAGAGGGAUAAUAUGCCUGGCGGAGUUGAGGAUGCACAAAGUGCCUAGCAUAGCAUAAACUGAGCAUAGUUAUCUACUCUUGUAAUCACAGCGCUUGGGAGAUAGAGACAGAAGGGUCAGAAAUUCAAGGUAAUCCUUAACUGCAUUGCCAGUUCAAGGCUACAAGAGACUGUAUCAGGAAAACAAAGCAGCCACCACCACCACCACCACCACCACCACCACCACCACCACCACAACAACAACAA